rnacentral:rRNA from 1 species
UGGGGAAUAUUGGACAAUGGGCGCAAGCCUGAUCCAGCCAUGCCGCGUGAGUGAUGAAGGCCUUAGGGUUGUAAAGCUCUUUUGUCCGGGACGAUAAUGACGGUACCGGAAGAAUAAGCCCCCGGCUAACUUCGUGCCAGCAGCCGCGGUAAUACGAAGGGGGCUAGCGUUGCUCGGAAUCACUGGGCGUAAAGGGCGCGUAGGCGGCCAUUCAAGUCGGGGGUGAAAGCCCGUGGCUCAACCACAGAAUUGCCUUCGAUACUGUUUGGCUUGAGUAUGGUAGAGGUCGGUGGAACUGCGAGUGUAGAGGUGAAAUUCGUAGAUAUUCGCAAGAACACCAGUGGCGAAGGCGGCCGACUGGACCAUUACUGACGCUGAGGCGCGAAAGCGUGGGGAGCAAACA